rnacentral:rRNA from 1 species
AUGUAUGUUCUCUUCGGAGCAUUGGAGACAGGUGGUGCAUGGUUGUCGUCAGCUCGUGUCGUGAGAUGUUGGGUUAAGUCCCGCAACGAGCGCAACCCUUAUCCUUAGUAGCCAGCAGGUAAAGCUGGGCACUCUAGGGAGACUGCCAGGGAUAACCUGGAGGAAGGUGGGGAUGACGUCAAAUCAUCAUGCCCCUUAUGAUUUGGGCUACACACGUGCUACAAUGGCGUAAACAAAGGGAAGCGAAGUGGUGACAUGGAGCGAACCCCAAAAAUAACGUCUCAGUUCGGAUUGCAGGCUGCAACCCGCCUGCAUGAAGCCGGAAUCGCUAGUAAUCGCAGAUCAGAAUGCUGCGGUGAAUACGUUCCCGGGUCUUGUACACACCGCCCGUCACACCAUGGGAGUCGAUAACGCCCGAAGUCAGUGACCCAACCGAAAGGAGGGAGCUGCCGAAGGCGGGAUGGAUAACUGGGGUGAAGUCGUAACAAGGUAGCCGUAUCGGAAGGUG